AUUGAACGCUGGCGGCAGGCCUAACACAUGCAAGUCGAGCGGAUGAAGGGAGCUUGCUCCUGGAUUCAGCGGCGGACGGGUGAGUAAUGCCUAGGAAUCUGCCUGGUAGUGGGGGAUAACGUCCGGAAACGGGCGCUAAUACCGCAUACGUCCUGAGGGAGAAAGUGGGGGAUCUUCGGACCUCACGCUAUCAUAUGAGCCUAGGUCGGAUUAGCUAGUUGGUGGGGUCAAGGCCUACCAAGGCGACCAUCCGUAACUGGACUGAGAGGAUGGUCAGUCACACUGGAACUGAAACACGGUCCAGGCUCCUACGGGAGGGAGCAGUGGGGAACAUUAGACAGUGGGCGAGAGCCUGAUACAGCCAGGCCGCGUGUGUGAAGAAGGUCUUCGGAGUGUAAAGAACUUUAAGUUGGGAGAAAGGGCAGUAAGUUAAUACCUUGCUGUUUUGACGUUACCAACAGAAGAAGCACCGGCUAACUUCGUG
rnacentral:rRNA from 1 species